GAUGAACGCUAGCUACAGGCUUAACACAUGCAAGUCGAGGGGCAGCAUAAACAUUGCUUGCAAUGUUUGAUGGCGACCGGCGCACGGGUGCGUAACGCGUAUGUAACCUACCUCAAACAGGGGCAUAACACUGAGAAAUUGGUACUAAUUCCCCAUAACACCUGAUAGGGCAUCCUAUUAGGUUGAAAGUUCCGGCGGUUUGAGAUGGACAUGCGUUGUAUUAGCUAGUUGGUGAGGUAACGGCUCACCAAGGCGACGAUACAUAGGGGGACUGAGAGGUUAACCCCCCACACUGGUACUGAGACACGGACCAGACUCCUACGGGAGGCAGCAGUGAGGAAUAUGGUCAAUGGACGGAAGUCUGACCAGCCAAGUCGCGUGAA
rnacentral:rRNA from 1 species